ACGGGUGAGUAACACGUGGGCAAUCUGCCCUGCACUCUGGGACAAGCCCUGGAAACGGGGUCUAAUACCGGAUAAUACCUUCCCUCGCAUGGGGGUGGGUUCAAAGCUCCGGCGGUGCAGGAUGAGCCCGCGGCCUAUCAGCUUGUUGGUGAGGUAGUGGCUCACCAAGGCGACGACGGGUAGCCGGCCUGAGAGGGCGACCGGCCACACUGGGACUGAGACACGGCCCAGACUCCUACGGGAGGCAGCAGUGGGGAAUAUUGCACAAUGGGCGAAAGCCUGAUGCAGCGACGCCGCGUGAGGGAUGACGGCCUUCGGGUUGUAAACCUCUUUCAGCAGGGAAGAAGCGAGAGUGACGGUACCUGCAGAAGAAGCGCCGGCUAACUACGUGCCAGCAGCCGCGGUAAUACGUAGGGCGCAAGCGUUGUCCGGAAUUAUUGGGCGUAAAGAGCUCGUAGGCGGUCUGUCGCGUCGGAUGUGAAAGCCCGGGGCUUAACCCCGGGUCUGCAUUCGAUACGGGCAGACUAGAGUGUGGUAGGGGAGAUCGGAAUUCCUGGUGUAGCGGUGAAAUGCGCAGA
rnacentral:rRNA from 1 species